UUGCGCUCAUGGAGCGGCCGAUAUCUGAUUAGCUAGUUGGUAGGGUAAAAGCCUACCAAGGCAUCGAUCAGUAGCUGGUCUGAGAGGACGACCAGCCACACUGGGACUGAGACACGGCCCAGACUCCUACGGGAGGCAGCAGUGGGGAAUUUUGGACAAUGGGGGCAACCCUGAUCCAGCAAUGCCGCGUGAGUGAAGAAGGCCUUCGGGUUGUAAAGCUCUUUUGUCAGGGAAGAAACGGGAUUUUCUAAUACAGGAUCCUAAUGACGGUACCUGAAGAAUAAGCACCGGCUAACUACGUGCCAGCAGCCGCGGUAAUACGUAGGGUGCAAGCGUUAAUCGGAAUUACUGGGCGUAAAGCGGGCGCCAGGUCGGGUUUGGGGGG
rnacentral:rRNA from 1 species